UGUGGGAGCGGGCUUGCUCGCGAAAGCGGUGUGUCAGUCGAAUUCAAUGUGACUGACCCACCGCAUUCGCGAGCAAGCCCGCUCCCACA
rnacentral:misc_RNA from 1 species